CCCCCCGCUGCUUGUUUUCUUGUAAAAAAAAAAAAAAUACAGUACCCCGGCCCAGACCUCGUGAUGUAACCUACAGCGGCGGCCGAGGUGCGGGGUCUUGGUCGGUUUCGUGCCGGCGGGAGGGCGAAGGGUGGGCGGGGCCUCGGUUCCCAAAUUUGCCCCAGAGCGCGGUUGACAGGGUGCAGCCGGGAGAGGCCGCGCUGGGACGGAGAUAUAGUGGAAACGUUCCUGGAUGUUCAGGGCGCGCCGUCCCACCGGCUGCUGGCCAGAGCCCCGGGAAGGCGAGGAUGCACCUUCUCCCCUGCCUUGGAAAGUCUCUGUGGACUGAGGCACUUCUCGGAGACCACCUCCUAUUUGCUAACCUUGACUGUGUUGGUUUCCCACCUCCUCGUGUACUUUGGGACUGCUUGAUAUCCUGAGAAAUCUGCUUUCUGAUCAAAUUGAAAUAAUCCGAUGCAACAACUGAAUUGUCAGCAGGGGCUUCUGCCCAAGCACCAGUUGGAAAUUUCAGAGUCAUUGUCAAGAUCAGCCGCUCAGACCAUCCUGUCACCUAAGAUGUGGCUGGGAAUAAUGGCCUCAAGUUGGCCACACUCCAGUCUUCAGUACCUCACUAGGACCACCUGGCAGGCAGAAGAAUACCCCCUUUCCAAAGAGCGGCUCCCUGUCUCUCACAGCACUGCCUGAGCUCCACCUCCUGUCAGAAUUGCUGCUGCAUUCAAUUCUCAUAGGAGCGCAAACCUGACUGUGAACUGUGCAUGCGCAGGAUCUAGGUUGCCUCUCUUGUGAGAAUCUACUGCCUGAUGGAUGAUCUAAAGUGGUGCCGAAAUGAUGAUGCUCGCAUUGGGGCACGGAAUUGCUACACAUUGCAAACAUAUACCAAUAAAAAGAUAAACACUCCACUUCAUGGAAAAAGUGUCUCCCAUGACUGGUGCCAAGAAGUUUGGGGAUUGCUGCCCUACAGUGUCCACAAAGAUUGCUAGAAUCUGGUUGGAUGGAUAUGAUGGAGAGACCGCCCCAGGUGAUGGUUUUCUGAGGCCUAAGGAAUUCCAUAGACAGAGGUUUCGGACCAGCCACAAGGGUCCACGGAAGACAUCCCCCGGGGACUGUGGGAGCUCUGCUACCGGCCAGAGUUCACUUUCAUCCCAGCACUUUCAUCUACUGCUGUGUAGAACCGGAAGUUUAACAGGGACAUGGCAACAAAAAGGUUUUGAAUAUCUGGGUGAGAAAGAACAGCUUCUCAAGUAAAAUGCUGACUGAGGAGACUGUCCGUUCACAUUUCCAAACUUUGCAGAAGUGAAACGUCCUCUCAAAUGCUCACUUUGAAAAGGGGGACAGUACCCAGACGAGACUCUCCCCAGAUACAAUAAGUGCAAGAUGCUAUCGUGCUGAAAUUAACCUACUGGCUAGGGUGUUUCCACCAACUGGGAUUAAAGUCACAGGCAAUGGAUUCUUGAUAUUGACCAACUGGCAUCUUGGUGAGGACGUAAUCUCUGCAACAGACUUUUGCCAAGUAUUGAUUCUAGGUAUGCAAUCGUGUUUGAGAUCUUACUAGGAAUUGGCUUGCUUUCUGAAUAUGACUCUUUAGGAAACGAAAAGAAGGGUACAUCACAGCCUUGGCUGGUGAUAUUUUUAAAUUUGGAGGCCCUGAAGGGGACUGCUUUUAUUCCAGUGAGAUACAAUUUAUGUUGUAGUUGCCAAAAGAUCUCUCUGAUUCUUAGGCAUUGCAAUCAAUCCAUCCAGCCGGCAUAGAGCAAAAUAAGCAGAGAACGUGAUUUUGGGGCCUUUAAUUUCUCUGCAUUUUAACCCAUAAAAACAAGGUAAGUUUAUUUUGAAACCUAUUUUCUUUGAAUUUUAAUAUCCUAUGACUUUUACUAUAAGGGUAUUAAUUUAAUAUCUUGGACAUUAAUUUCUCCCUAGAAACUUGAUAAAAGGAGAUUUAUGUUAAAAAUUUUCCAACACAGUUGACAUUGUUAUUAACAUUUCUUUUUACCCAUUAUUAUUGAAGUCAUUGACUUGUGCCAUGUAACCUCAUUGUUGAUCCUCUAGUAUGUUAUGUGACCAACAAUAUAAGCAUAAUAAAAAUAUGCAUAAGCCUAUCUUGGAUAAGCAUAAUAAAAAUGAGUAAUAGAAAGAGGAAUGAAAUUUUAUCCCUGGAUACAGAAUGACACUGAACUGGUAAUUCAUUAUAAACAUUUAAUUCAUUAUAAGGAAUUUGGAAACGUGAGCAAAAUCUCUAUUGCCCCCUCCCCAGGGAUCCUGGGAGGACACCAGGUUGGAAGGUAGCCUGGUGAAGAUGUCCUGGCAGACAGCAGAGCUCCUCUCCUAUGGUUGUUAGCCCACCUCCUGCUGGUACAGGCUGGAUGAUCAAACACUUGGCCUAAAAGAACAAGAAUCAAGGGAAGCAGGGCAGGAUGGUACAGGCCUGAAUCUUAGGUAUUUAUUUGGGAGGCUGGGGCAGGAAGAUUGCAAGUUUGAGGCCAGCCUGGGCAACUUAGGGAAGACUCUGCCUCAAAAUUAAAUAAAGGGCUAGGAAUAUAGUUCACUGGCCAAGCACUUGCCUAGCAUGUGUGAGGCCCUGAGUUUGAUCCCCAUCACCUUCAAACAACAAAACGAUAAAUGGAGGGAUUGAAGGGAGGGCUGGGCAAGGGUGAAAAAUAAGAACCAAGAGAGAUUAU